GACGAACGCUGGCGGCGUGCUUAACACAUGCCAGUCGAACGGAAAGGCCCUGCUUUUGUGGGGUGCUCGAGUGGCGAACGGGUGAGUAACACGUGAGUAACCUGCCCUUGACUUUGGGAUAACUUCAGGAAACUGGGGCUAAUACCGGAUAGGAGCUCCUGCUGCAUGGUGGGGGUUGGAAAGUUUCGGCGGUUGGGGAUGGACUCGCGGCUUAUCAGCUUGUUGGUGGGGUAGUGGCUUACCAAGGCUUUGACGGGUAGCCGGCCUGAGAGGGUGACCGGCCACAUUGGGACUGAGAGACGGCCAGACUCCUACGGGAGGCAGCAGUGGGGAAUAUUGCACAAUGGGCGGAAGCCUGAUGCAGCAACGCCGCGUGCGGGAUGACGGCCUUCGGGUUGUAAACCGCUUUCGCCUGUGACGAAGCGUGAGAGACGGUAAUGGGUAAAGAAGCACCGGCUAACUACGUG
rnacentral:rRNA from 1 species